AGUUAGUGUGACAGUCACUAUCGCUGCAUGUGUAAGAGCAGCGUGUGCAGUAAGUGUAUUUGUCACCUAGACAUAUUUCCAGCUGCCCAGUGGGACCAGCUUUGGCUUCAGUGCAGGACCGCAAAUCUCAAAUGCAGCUGUGGGAACCAACAGUAGUAAAUAAUCUCCCUGUGAGGAGCAGGGGUAGGGGGUCUGUCCGCUUUGCAGGGAACCUCAGUCGUUACAUGAGAUCCUCAGAACAAAAACAAUUUAUGGAAAAUCACUAGACAGAAUACUGUGGCCAUUGAUCAACUCCUUCUUAUAAUGAUAUAUAUUAGUUCAUGGAUAAUUUUUGCAUGUUAUUUUUUCUGAUUGACUGGAAAAGUGAAUUCUGUAAGUACGCAGUAAAUCUUGAAUUCACCUGUGUUGAACAUCUUAUACCUGACUUGUUGUUACCAAAGAAGGUGAAUUUUGAAACUGAGAUUACAAAAAAAGUAAUAAAAAUAGAUCCUACCUUCUUAUUUUAUUUUCUUACUUCGGUAUAUUGUUGAUGUGUUCUUAACACAGACUAAGGUGAGAAUUUUUCCCUCUGUUAGGGCACUAUUUUUCUAUCCACUCAAGAAAUACAGCCUGUUUUUUGGCAGAGGUUUUUAAUAUUUAUUGCUUUCUUAUUGCAUCAGUUAGAGUUUUGUUUAGCUACAAGUGCAUAGCAGCAGAAUAAUUUUACAUGGAAUCCACCCUGUUUUGCCCUUCCCAAAAUAGCUUAUUGUUUUGAUUUACAGGAAUAAGGAACUCUAAAGUGCUUUGUGAAAUGAAAAUACUUUUACGGACUCUGUUAACAGGAACUUUAAACAGAAUAGAACAAAGUCCUUCUACAAAUGCCAGACUGAUGGCAUGGCCAAAAUAAAGAAAUAAUUGAGCUCUAGCAACAUUUUUUAUAACUGGUGCAAAAGCUGUUAUUACAAUUAAAAGUUUGCUGUAAACCAAAUAAUAGUGAAAGACUGCAACAUGCGAAAUUGGGCCGUCUGAAGGAAGAAUUUUAUGAGUGGGAAACAUGAGGAAUUUUAUCUGAGAGAAAUUAGUUUACUAUUUUGAAGAACAUGGUAAGAUCUAAACAUGCAGUUUAUUUAUAUUUAUUUUAUUUAUUUAUAGUAGUAGAUAUUUCAUCAGCACUUUGCCUGCAUGAGUUUGCUCAGUAAUUUUUUCUCUUUUCAUACACUUCUGUUUUAGAUCCAGUGAGUGAGAUGCAGAAAGUGUAAGCUACCUGAGUUCUGUGGACUUCAGGGAAGUAACAUUAUUUUAUAUCAUCUCAGGAAGCUCUGUUUGAGAACAGGGAAAAGAAAAGGCCACAUAGCUGCUCUCCCUGUUUCAGUUCCUACAAAGCAUCUGUAAGAUGAAAAGACGUAGUUUCAUUUUAUUUUGUGUAUGUAAACAGUUCCUUUUCCAAUAAAGCAGAAGAAACAAGGAAAAAAGGAAACGGAAAAUACCAGGUAUCUCUGCCUGUGUUCUUGCAGUACUUGUAGCCACAAUCCUAUACUUUGACAGAAUCUAUCAGUCUGUAACUGAUGCUUUCCUUAGUGGUUUCAUGGUUUUAGGGGGGCUCUGGAAAGAAAAGGGAAUAAAAGGGGAUGGAAUUAUAAAGCCUAUGGCCUGCAGCUUUCUCAAAGAUAAGCUUGCCUAACACUCUGUUUUGUUGGUAUCAGGUUAAUAAUAAUUCAGAAGGGCAGAAGAUAGGAAGAGAAGGAGGCAAUGAACAGGUUCUUGCCACAAGUGAGCCACACUCUCCCCUGAAUGCUUGCACAGAGUUGUUUUUACCAGGCAUCCUGCUGUCUCAGUAAAAGAAUGAGUAUCAGAUGUUUAGCCUCAUCGUCAGAAUCCCUUUAGCUCAUUUGAGUUUGGACACAUCACUGUGUUACAUCACAUAAUUGCUUGAAUGUGUAUCAACAUUAAUAAGUCUCCAGUUGUUAAAGACUUGGUAAAAUAACAAAAGUGCUCUAGUGGCUUACAUUUAGCAGUACUUUUGCAGAAGGUGGAGGUAAGGCUUAAAUAUUAAAAAAGUCAGGAAGCCAUGUUUACCUGUAAGUCAGCAACUUUGGCAUUUCAGAAACUCAGCAAGAAGCUUUGGAGGGCUGAGAAAGCACUGUAAGCUCUAGUGAAAGCAGUGUGCUCUGUCACUGAGCUCCCUGGACUGGCUGUGACAGUAAUCCAAAAUGCCAAAAUAUUGCCCAUUGUGAUGUUAUAAGUAAUGAUUGCACACAAAAUGGGAGAAGGUAUUGGCAUAGCAGUGAUAAUAGUAUAAUUAGGAAAGCAAACUCUGAAAGAAAAAAAAUACCACAUUCAAGAUGUAUUUUGAUACUUUCAGAACAUAAAAGAGAUGGUGUUCUCUGGUUUGUUCUAUGAUUGUGUUCACAGUAGUUUGUGCUACUGUGUGUACUGUGGAAAAGUGAGUUUAAUAUAAAUGUAAAUACAAUCUUGCAUUGAGCAGUGAUUGAAAGGUUUAUUUUUUUUAGCUGUUCAUUUCUGCAGUAGGAGACUGAAGUGACCAGUAUGGCAAUGUAAGGGACAGGGAAAUGGAGAGUCCCCACUGGGCUCCCUUCCUUCCACUGGUCUGAGGAAAUUGGUAUUCACUGGGUAAUGUUUUAUCUUUGUUGAAAAUGCUGAAACGUGAGAAACAAAAGGAAGUGCAUUUGUCGUUCAGUGCUUAGUCCUUUUCUGUCACAAAGCAUGAAAUGAUAGUUUAGAAGUGAGCAGCAAUGACAUUGUAUGCAAACUGAAUCAAUUUUAAUGGAUUUUUUGAGAAAACACAAUGACAGUAUCCACAGAAUCAUCAAAGUCACUGUGUUUGCAAAUAAUGCAUGUGAAUUUCCAAGUGGCAACAUUGACUGGGUACCGUGGGGUGCCUUACAUGUUCAUAAGGCUCUGUGGCUUCUGGGCAUUACCCCUCCCAUACUGGAAAGCCCAGAGGCAGAAGUCAAGCACUCCUUUGUGAGUAGCAAACUGAAAUUUUGGUAGCUGAAAUUCAGUUUCUGCUUCAGCUGUCAGACAUUGCACUGAACUCAGCAGAUCACAGUAGACACCUGCAAUUGCUAUGCUCAUGGCAUUCUUUCUUACAGACAACCUCUGAGACAGCUGUGAUCAAAAAAAUGUAAUGUAUGAGACUGUAAAAGUUUAUUUCUUUAGUUUCUUUCAGCCAGGAAGCAGGAGAAGAGGACUUCAAGGUGCUAGUGCUGUUUCUUGCAACAACAAUGAGCUCGUCAUCAUCAAAUCUGACAGUGAUCAACAUCCCUAAAUACAGCAAGCAGGCCUGCUCCAUUGUGUGCCUGACCUCUGCAGCUGGGGCACAAGAUUCUUGGUUCAUUUCCAGAUACAGACCUGCUUUUCUGCUGUGGUUGCUGUUCAUCCUACCUUACAGAAGAGCAAUUCAUUGGGAGCCAAGCUAUAGGUACUUGCUACUUACUGCUACCUGCUCUGGGGACAGGAGGAAAAAGGACAGAUCAUACAUCCAUUACAUACUGCAAUACUCAAAGAAUAAUCUCCCAAAUCCUUCACUUUGAGUGCCAUUUUCUGCUCCUUAGCUCUGAGCUCUGCUCUGUUACAGGUCUUUAGGAGACAAAUGUUUUCCACUACCUUCUCUCCUGUCUGUCUCUCAGCCUCACUUAGCACCUGCUGAAUGGGGACACACCUGAGUCUCCUGCUUUUUUUAAUGGCAAGAUCUGUAGCAGAUGGGACUUUCCCCCAGACAGCAACUACUACCAGCACUGCACUGCUCACAACACCAGAAGUCCCAGGCUUCCGGGAAGACAAGACCCCUUGAAGAACUUUUCUGAAGAGCCUGGAAUCUCUGUUAUCAGAGAAUUAAACAGAGGUGCUGGCUGGAGCACAGCUUCAAGGAAAAAAGCUGGACCUGAGAGGUAAAAAGGCCUCACUGGUGGCAGGCAGAAGACUUGGAAAGCAGAAUUCCAAUCAAGGUUUCUCACCUGGGCAAUCCCCUAGCCCAAAGAAAAUCUGUUGUUUAGAGAUGAGCUGUAGAGUCAAGACUCUCUUUGUGCAGCUACUUUGAAAUACACAGGCAUCUUCUUCACUUCUGUGGGUUCUGUGAGCUCCAGCUAGACGGUACAGGCAGGACUCACUCCAGAGAUGCUGUGGCUUCUGCUGCAGGUGUUCAACAGCAGGAAGAUAAGAGGAGGUUUGAGAAGUGCUACUCACAGAUUGCACCAAACAAGCUAAGGCUGGUGUAAUUACAGAGGAUCAUCCUCACCAAUUGGAUAAUUUUUGUGCACUGAGUGGUGGAAGUGUGCAAGUUGGUUGCAUGCAUGGUGCUCACAUCUCAUCUGUGCAUGAGCUGUGGGCAGUGAGAAUUGUUCCCUCCUAGUAAAGGCUGAACUGGUGCUGUUUUUGGGAGUCGAGGGGCACUAUGUUCUGUGUGUCUUCCAUUCCAGACACUAUAAUACAAUGGUGGAUUUAGUGAAUCUGACCCUUGAAAGCCUGGGGGCAAUUGCAUGUCCAGAGACUUUUGUUUGGCCAGAAGGUGCUUGGGAUUAAAAUUGUUCUAGGAUUUGGAAUGUGAUCCUUCUCUGCAAUCUGAAAUAUAGAAGCACAAGUGAAAGAAGACCUGUUCAACCCAUGCCAUGUUUUCUUUUUUACUGCCAAGAACUAGAUGUGCUGCUGAAUCUUAGGUUUACCAUCCCACUCUAUGGUUUGAAGGUAAGCAGAUCUUAACCUCUGAAGAGCUUGCAUAACACUCAGGUAGAAAGGAAUUUCUGGGAGUCUCCCUUGUUACAUUUGCUGUUUAUUUCUAGCUGGGAGUAUCAAGCAGAAAUGUUCUGAGGCCAUGUUGCACAUUUGCCCCAUUUGCCCCAGUACAUAUCACCACGUAUGGUUCACUGAUCCUUCAUCUACAUAUGGCCCAUGUGUUCCUUUCCAGAUGCCUCGCACUUAAGUGUUGUCUUUCCAAGGAGGAUAAUUCUCAAGAUUAUUUAGCAUAUCAAAGUGACAAGACAAGCUCAUCUCUACCCCUGGAAAAGAACUAGGGCAAAGAGAUUUUGUUGAUUUCUGGCCCUCUCCAUUCCCCUCAAGUCAAGCCAUUUAUCCUCCAGCAUAACAUCUUAAUGGUAAAGGAUGCUAACUAGUAUGAGACUUGAUGGUUUCCUCUGAGAGAAGGUUUCAAAAUUCCAUGAUCUUAGUCAGAAUUUUCUAAAUAGAUUCUAGCUGCUGUCCAUUUUGGGCCAUGUAGAGGGAUAGAAUAUAAGAAAAUAAAGAUAGUGUAGAAAGUAAUCUUACCCCUAAGUAGUUGCAGCUGGGCCAAUUAUCAAAGCUUAGCAACAGGCCUGACUUUAAGAGGCCACAGCUGAACCAAUGAGACGAAGAUGCUAUA